rnacentral:rRNA from 1 species
GACGAACGCUGGCGGCGUGCUUAACACAUGCAAGUCGAACGAAGAGCGAUGGAAGCUUGCUUCUAUCAAUCUUAGUGGCGAACGGGUGAGUAACGCGUAAUCAACCUGCCCUUCAGAGGGGGACAACAGUUGGAAACGACUGCUAAUACCGCAUACGAUCUGACCUCGGCAUCGAGGAUAGAUGAAAGGUGGCCUCUAUUUAUAAGCUAUCACUGAAGGAGGGGAUUGCGUCUGAUUAGCUAGUUGGAGGGGUAACGGCCCACCAAGGCGAUGAUCAGUAGCCGAUCUGAGAGGAUGAACGGCCACAUUGGGACUGAGACACGGCCCAGACUCCUACGGGAGGCAGCAGUGGGGAAUCUUCCGCAAUGGACGAAAGUCUGACGGAGCAACGCCGCGUGAGUGAUGACCGGGCCUUCGGGUUGUAAAGCUCUGUUAAUCGGGACGAAAGGCCUUCUUGCGAAUAGUUAGAAGGAUUGACGUACCG